GCCUCUGUAGUUCAAUGGAUAGAACGGAAGUUUCCUAAACUUUAGAUUCGGGUUCGAUUCCCGGCGGAGGUAC
rnacentral:tRNA from 1 species